rnacentral:rRNA from 1 species
CGCGUAGGCGGUUUUACAAGUCAGAUGUGAAAGCCCAUGGCUCAACCAUGGACGUGCAUUUGAAACUGUGAGACUUGAGUAUUGGAGGGGGUGGUGGAAUUCCCGGUGUAGAGGUGAAAUUCGUAGAUAUCGGGAGGAAUACCAGUGGCGAAGGCGACCACCUGGCCAAAUACUGACGCUCAUGUGCGAAAGCGUGGGGAGCAAACA